CUAAGCGCGUCUUGUUCCCAUUCUCCUCACCCCGUCCCGACCUUCCUGAAGCCUUUGCAUAUUUCCUUAGAACUGAAAAAUGAAAUUGGUGCUCAUGUGUUUGGGGUGAGGGACAAAAAAUGAGCCACCACUGACAAUUGUGAGGAGAGAGAGAACAGCUGUUUGCAUCUGGCCGUGGGGUAAAAGAGAUGAACAGCUGCUGGUAGCUGUGGCAGACAGGAAAGGGAGCGAGAGUGAGCAGCUGCUGUUAAUUCGGAGCCCAGUAGGCCUCUCAAGGGCAUUGGAAAUCCAGAAGCAGCUCUGGGAGCUCCACCUAACUACUCCGUCCUGCUCUUCCUUAGCUUCUGCUUGCCUUGCCUUACAGACAAUCCCACAAUGGCUGCAUGAAGAAUCCCAGCCGGAAUACCCACCCCCACACUUCCUCGCCCUUUGAAGAAGCAAACCAAGAUGGAUAACAGGUCACACCUUUUUUCCCAAGAAAAUGAGAACACUUCUACCAACAACGUCAGUGUGAGUGGGAGAGGACCCGCUUCAUUCACACACAGAAUGAGAAGCACCCUGAAGCUGUGCACUCAUGGCGCUUCACGUGGACUCUACCAUGGUCAGAUGUACCCGGGCCAGAAGAGUGAACUCCCAAAUUCUAAGUUGGAGGUGACAGAGAAAUCAGCAGUUUCUCAAUGCGUCUCCUCUCUGUGACUUGUUAACCAGAGGAAGCUGGUUAAGUUGUUGAAGGACUGAUGUCAAAAGUCCCUCACCCUACGAUGCCAACCAUAAUGGCCGAAGUCAAAGUCCCCCCAAUCCCCUGUGUUUUGUACUCCAAGAGAGUAAUGUCCCCUCAAAGCAAAUUCUGAACAGUAUCUGUUUUCACAGUUCCCCUUAGGUGUUGGCUUUAUUCUCUGGUUCAGAACAGGAAGGAAUUGAGCUCCAAACCAAGUGCUAAGCACAGGAGGAACCAUCCACCCUCAGUUUGGCACCCUCGUCCCUGCUGUGGUGGAUUCUGGAGCUGAAUGUUCACUGCAUCAAACUCUAAUGUGAAUGAGCUUUAACUUCUAAUCUAUUUCUUGGGGCAGUUAGGACAGAUUGCCCAGUCCCCAGUGCACAGAGUUCUCUUUAGACUGAGUCUGUUUCCCAGAUAUUUUGAAGUCUGCCCAAGGCCUGGUUGUAUAAAGUGUGAAUGUUCCAUGUUAACAUAAGAUACUCCAGCGCUCUGAGUGGGGAGUAACUCAAAACCCUGACAAACUUGUCUGUUAUCCAAAAUGUGUUUGCAGAUGCUUCCCCGUUGCCUGUAAAAUAACAUUAAAGGAAACAUCUUGCUCCAUAAAUA